AGAUUGAACGCUAGCGGGAUGCUUUACACAUGCAAGUCGAACGGCAGCGCGGACUUCGGUCUGGCGGCGAGUGGCGAACGGGUGAGUAAUAUAUCGGAACGUGCCCAGUAGCGGGGGAUAACUGCGCGAAAGCGUGGCUAAUACCGCAUACGCCCUACGGGGGAAAGGGGGGGAUCGCAAGACCUCUCACUAUUGGAGCGGCCGAUAUCAGAUUAGCUAGUUGGUGAGGUAAAGGCUCACCAAGGCGACGAUCUGUAGCUGGUUUGAGAGGACGACCAGCCACACUGGGACUGAGACACGGCCCAGACUCCUACGGGAGCAGCAGUGGGAAUAUGGACAAUGGGCGCAAGCCUGAUCCAGCAAUGCCGCGUGUGUGAAGGAAGUCCGUUGGUUAGUAAGCUACUUUAAGUUAGGAAAGAAAAACUCGACUACUAACACAGUGAGUCUUAGACGGUACGACAAG
rnacentral:rRNA from 1 species